rnacentral:RNase_P_RNA from 1 species
GGAGUAGGCGCAGGCGGUUGCGGACGGGGAAUGGCUCUGCCAAACCUGCCAGUCUGAGGAAAGUCCGGGCUCCCGAAAGACCAAACUUGCUGGGUAACGCCCAGUGCGAGCGAUCGUGAGGAAAGUGCCACAGAAACAUACCGCCGAUGGAGUUUCUAGCUAGCAGCGAAAGCUGAUUGCGAAGGCUCACAGGUAAGGGUGCAAGGGUGCGGUAAGAGCGCACCAGCAGCAUCGAGAGGUGCUGGCUCGGUAAACCCCGGUUGGGAGCAAGGUCGAAGGGGCAAGGGUUGGUCUUUUUCCUAGCUCCGUGCAAAGGUACCGCUUGAGGUGUUUGGUAACAAACAUCCCAGAUAGAUAACUGCCCUCUACUUUGCUUCGGUAAUUUGGAGAACAGAACCCGGCUUAUGUCUUGCUCCCCUC